rnacentral:rRNA from 1 species
ACGCACGCUGGCGGCAGGCCUAACACAUGCCAGUCGAGCGCACCCUUCGGGGUGAGCGGCGGACGGGUGAGUAACGCGUGGGAACGUGCCCUUCUCUGCGGAAUAGCCUCGGGAAACUGAGAGUAAUACCGCAUACGCCCUUUGGGGGAAAGAUUUAUCGGAGAAGGAUCGGCCCGCGUUGGAUUAGGUAGUUGGUGGGGUAAUGGCCCACCAAGCCGACGAUCCAUAGCUGGUUUGAGAGGAUGAUCAGCCACACUGGGACUGAGACACGGCCCAGACUCCUACGGGAGGCAGCAGUGGGGAAUCUUAGACAAUGGGGGCAACCCUGAUCUAGCCAUGCCGCGUGAGUGAUGAAGGCCUUAGGGUUGUAAAGCUCUUUCAGCUGGGAAGAUAAUGACGGUACCAGCAGAAGAAGCCCCGGCUAACUCCGUG